rnacentral:rRNA from 1 species
UACGUAGGGUGCAAGCGUUGCUCGGAAUCACUGGGCGUAAAGGGCGCGUAGGCGGACUUUUAAGUCGGAGGUGAAAGCCCAGGGCUCAACCCUGGAAUUGCCUUCGAUACUGGGAGUCUUGAGUUCGGAAGAGGUUGGUGGAACUGCGAGUGUAGAGGUGAAAUUCGUAGAUAUUCGCAAGAACACCGGUGGCGAAGGCGGCCAACUGGUCCGAAACUGACGCUGAGGCGCGAAAGCGUGGGGAGCAAACAGG